GACGAACGCUGGCGGCGUGCUUAACACAUGCAAGUCGAACGAUGAAGCCGGAGCUUGCUCUGGUGAAUUAGUGGCGAACGGGUGAGUAACACGUGAGUAACCUGCCCUUGACUCUGGGAUAACUGCUAGAAAUGGUGGCUAAUACCGGAUACGACCCUCGGCGGCAUCGCCAGGGGGUGGAAAGAAUUUCGGUCAAGGAUGGACUCGCGGCCUAUCAGCUAGUUGGUGAGGUAACGGCUCACCAAGGCGACGACGGGUAGCCGGCCUGAGAGGAUGACCGGCCACACUGGGACUGAGACACGGCCCAGACUCCUACGGGAGGCAGCAGUGGGGAAUAUUGCACAAUGGGCGCAAGCCUGAUGCAGCAACGCCGCGUGAGGGAUGACGGCCUUCGGGUUGUAAACCUCUUUUAGUAGGGAAGAAGCGAAAGUGACGGUACCUGCAGAAAAAGCACCGGCUAACUACGUGCCAGCCGCCGCCGUAA
rnacentral:rRNA from 1 species